CUAGGUCUCAGUUCAGAUUGCAGGCUGNAACCGCCUGCAUGAAGUCGGAAUUGCUAGUAAUCGCGGAUCAGCAUGCCGCGGUGAAUACGUUCCCGGGCCUUGUACACACCGCCCGUCACACCAUGGGAGCCGGUAAUACCCGAAGUCAGUAGUCCAACCUCGUGAGGACGCUGCCGAAGGUAGGAUUGGCGACUGGGGUGAAGUCGUAACAAGGUAAC
rnacentral:rRNA from 1 species